GAAUAUUGGUCAAUGGGCGAAAGCCUGAUCCAGCCAUGCCGCGUGCAGGAUGACAGCCCUACGGGUCGUAAACUGCUUUUAUACGGGAAUAAACCUCCGAACGUGUUCGGAGCUGAAGGUACCGUACGAAUAAGGAUCGGCUAACUCCGUGCCAGCAGCCGCGGUAAUACGGAGGAUCCAAGCGUUAUCCGGAUUUAUUGGGUUUAAAGGGUCCGCAGGCGGGAUAUUAAGUCAGUGGUGAAAGCCUACCGCUUAACGGUAGCACUGCCAUUGAUACUGGUAUUCUUGAGUGUGGUUGAAGUGGGCGGAAUAUGUCAUGUAGCGGUGAAAUGCAUAGAUAUGACAUAGAACACCUAUUGCGAAGGCAGCUCACUAAGCCAUUACUGACGCUCAGGGACGAAAGCGUGGGUAGCAAACAGG
rnacentral:rRNA from 1 species